rnacentral:rRNA from 1 species
UACGUAGGGUGCAAGCGUUAAUCGGAAUUACUGGGCGUAAAGCGUGCGCAGGCGGUUAUGCAAGACAGAUGUGAAAUCCCCGGGCUCAACCUGGGAACUGCAUUUGUGACUGCAUAGCUGGAGUGCGGCAGAGGGGGAUGGAAUUCCACGUGUAGCAGUGAAAUGCGUAGAUAUGCGGAGGAACACCGAUGGCGAAGGCAAUCCCCUGGGCCUGCACUGACGCUCAUGCACGAAAGCGUGGGGAGCAAACAGG